AUUUGUGUGUUUGUUUCUCAGAACUGUCAAUGAACAACGCUCAAGAGAAAGCUUGCUCAUAAUUUUAUACUAUACCGUUAAUGUGUACUAUUAAUAGUGGGUUUUACAGUAUAUAAUGUAAUUUCAUAUUAAACUUUAUUUUAUAAAUGAGCUCGAGAUCACAAAACGUAACUAAGGUUCACUAAAACAUUUCAUAUCGGUCAUAAUUAUUAUACGUCAAACCUGAAGAAAGACUAAAUUAACAAAACAAAACAAUUCACACAAUUCCACUCCCAGCAUUUUCGCCCAAAAUUGUUAAUUUGGCCCAUUUUAGGGGAAGCUGCAAGGAUUGAUAGCGUGCGUAAAAAAUGAUAUUAAUUAUUUGAGUAUACUCUGCACGUUUAAAAAAAUCAUCCAAAACCUCUUGCUAUUUUUUGCCUCUCUUCUGCUGCUGCUGACAACAUCAGAAGGACUCCCAUUUUUGGCGUUUUGAUAAAACAGCUGGCAUUUUAAAUAAAUUAAAACCCUCAUUCAAUUCGUUCGAUUUAUUCUGUUCGCGCUUGAUACAUCCAGCACCGCGGCCUUGAGCUGACGUACAGCCGUGAUGGAUCGUGAAUAAAGCGCUAAAUGCAUCGUGCAUGGCCUUGGCGGGACGUACAGCAAGAUGGAACGUGAAUAAGGCGCUUAAAAUUUUUACAGAACGUCACGCAGGUAUGCAACGGAAGUGACAUCAAACUACUAUUGAAAUUAAGUACCGGUAAAAUGGGGCGAUUAAACAUACCUAUAAUAUAUAUAUAUAUAAAUAUACCUACAUGUGAAAAACAUGUAGGUAUAUUUAUUAGUUUUUUUAAAACCUAAAUAAUUUUUAAUCUUGUGACAACCCUGACUGCCAUUUCUAUUUUCUAUUCUAUAUAUUCUAUAUCUAUAUUAUUAUUAUGAUAGUUUUCCAAUUACAGCACUAGAGCGCAUUAUGCGGCAUAAUGAUCAACGUUGAAUGUUCCAACUACAGCAACGCUUCGCACAAUCGGGCACUCUCAAAAGUACUGCCUGUCAUCAGAUAUUUUAGUAAUGGCUCAAAUAACUCAUCUGUUUCAUUAUCAUAUAUAUUUUCAAUAAAUAUAUCACUUGAUAAUGAAAUAA